UUUUCUUUAUUUUUUUUAUUUCCUUUUUAAAUAUGUAAAUUUUCUUGUUUGUUAUUAAAAAAAAAAAAAAGAAAAGUAAUCAUGUCCGAAAAUUUAAUUGAGUAUUCAUUCUAGCUGGCCUAAGUUAUGGCAAUUUAUUUAUAUUUGUUGAAAACCUCAUUCAUCACAUAUGUAUCCAUAGUAAUUUCUACAAUUUCCGCUGUACAGCGGUCGUUGACUCGUAGACUCGUAGACUCGUAGACUCGUAGACUCGUAGUAUCACAGGAUGUCUUAGUUAUGGCCAUGGAAGCUGAAUCCUUGCUGACCAACUCAUCACAAGGAAACCAAUAUUUCCAGAAAAGAUCUAAAUUCGCCGUAAAAAGGAUACUUCAAGAACUUCUUGUGCAGUGAAAAAUUAAUAAGUGAAAAAUUUGAAUAAAGUGUACGGAGGCCUCCUCACUUCAAUACACCAGGUAUUUACGAAACAACCAAUAUUAAUUUAUGGAAAAUUCACAGGCAACUACUUCGCAAAAAUAAAAGGGACAGGAUAAUAAAUAAAUUUGUAAUUACUUGAUUUAAAUUUUGUUUAUUUUUUGGAAAUUCUAUUUAUUUGAUCUAUUAUGUAUAUUAAAUUGCAAACAUGAUUACAAUCUUAUUGUUGAUUAUUGAAUAUGCCUAACAAUCAUCAAUGACAAGUAAUGAAUGGGGUAAAUCUUGAAUUGUUGAGCUGUCAUAUCAUUCAAUUAUAAAUGUUGCUACUUAGAAGGGGUUGGAAAUUAAAUAAAUGGAAUAUUUUAGUUAAUAUAUUGAACUAUAUAUUCAAUUUAUUGAUUUAAAUAUUCGGAGGAUUAUUUCCUUCCCCAUCUCAAAGAUUAAUUUCAACUGCGGUAAACUGAGGUAACAUUUCAACUGCGCCUUACUCUGCGAGGUUUGCUUGCAAACUCUUUCAUUGAUUUAUCAAUAAUAUUGAAUGAUGUGUGACGGUCUCGGCUGUUCUUAUCCUUUCUUCUUUCAUUGAUGGUGGGGAGGAUUCAGGUUAAAAUUAAAAUACAAAAUCAAAUAUUAUUCAUCAUAAAUGAUCUCGAAUUAUAAGUAUUAUAUAAUCAUAUUAAUAAUUUAUUUAAGAAAAUGAUAAUAUGGGUUCACCGAAUAAAGUAGCAUCUAUGGAAUCUAAAAUAAUUAAUUAUUGGGAUGUUAAAAAAUCAGUUGAAGAGUGCUUCAAUUUCAAUUUGAUUCCUAUUAGAAAAUUCAAUCCUAAUUUUGUUACUAAAGAGAAUUUACUUUUCGAACUUGAAACAUUGGGAGUACCUACAGAUACAGUUAUUGACAAUGAUGUAGACACUUUAAGGGGAAAGUAUCGAGCAUUAGUUAGCAAUCCAGACCCAAAAAUUGCACGAAUUAUUUACGAUGAUGAGUCUAGUAAAAUUGCUAUAAAAAAAAUCCUUGAUUUAUUGACAGGGGAAGAUGAAUACUUGGAGAAAAUUCUUUCUAUGAGUAUUCCUGAUAAAAAGGUAAACAUUCAUAAAGCGUUAUCCAUUUUUCUACAUAUUCUCAAUCGAAUUGUUCAAUUAUUAACUUAUGCUAAAGAAGCAAAUGACCAAAAUCUAAUUAAGGGUAUUGAUGAGUCUAUUGUAUUAGCUCAGGCUACUUUUACUAAAUUGAUCGACUUGUGUGAAUGCUUUAGUAGAUCUAGUUCGCCUCAUUUUGAAAAACAAAGCAGUCUUAGUACACCUGAUUCAAAAAUGAAUAAUCCCACACACGAUUCGAAUACUAAACUUCAUACUAAUACAGUAAAUCGCUUUAUUGCGCCAAUUCCUAGUACAAGUAAUAUGGAACAAAAUGUUACUCAGUAUUCACAAACAAAUGUUACCAAUCCUGAUAUUCAAGUUACUGAUUUUGAAAAUAUAAAUAAUAGUAAUACUGUCUCUAUGGUAGAACAGGUACAUGCUACAAUAAAUGAAAACUUGGGUAGGACUGUAUUCGGUAGUGAUUUCAAUACUAAUAGGGUAAACCUUGCAGCCAACUUGUCUUCACCUUUAUUUGGUAAUUUGUAUAAUAAAUUAUCAAAUCCUAUCGAAGGUCUGAUGAAGGAACUUCCGAAUACUGACGGAUUGAAUGUUGAUAGUUUGUUGAAAUUCAUUGAAAUAUGUUUGAAAAUAAAAGAACGAUCGAACUUAUUAGAUCAGCAACUUUUCCAUAUCAUUCACUCUUCUGUUGUAGGGCCUCUCGCCGAUCGAUUGAAUUUAGCUAUGAGUACAAAUAAGAGUUUUGAUGAAUUUCAUAAGGAUAUUCUGCAACAUUUUAUUCCGUCUAGAUUGAUUUCAAUCAUUGAAAGAGACCACUAUUAUCGUUUACAAAGGGCUGGUGAACCCUUGUCUGCUUACAUUGUGUCAAUCAAAGACGCUAAUAAACUACUAAGAUUAGAAAAAUCUGAGGAAGACGUAGUCAAUAAUAUUUGCUCAGGGUUGAAUCCAGAGGAAAGAAAUAGACUAGUUUUCCAAUCCAAACCAACUAGUUUUAAUGACUUAACUUCCAUCUCAGUAGUAUCUCAAAAUAUUCAAUAUGGGGAUUUAGAAAGAAAUAAAUACAAUUUUAAUACUAAUAAAAAUAAUCAAAAAUCUCCAAUGAAUGUUGAAUUAGCUCAAAGACGUUGUUACAAAUGCAACAAAGUAGGUCAUCUAGCUCAGUCAUGUAGAUCCAACAUGAAUAAUUCAAAUUUCAGAGGUACAAGCAGUAAUUCGAGAAAUCAUAAUCAGAAUCACCAAAGAUCUAAUAAUAAUUUCACUAGAGAUCUAUCUAAAAUACGUUGCUUUAAAUGUAAUGAAAGUGGACAUUAUGCAAACUCUUGUGAAAAUAAAAAAGCAUGACUAGCUGGGAAACAGUAUAAAAAGAAAAUAUACAGUAAAAGAAAAUUUCAAAACACCAAAUACAAUCAAAAAUUCAAUAAAGAAAACGGAAUUAAUACCUUGAAAUGUAGUGAUACUUUUUCUAAUGGUAAGAAGAAAUCAAUUCAAUCAAAAUAUACUGACAAAAAUCAGAAAAUGAAAAAUAAAAUAAAAAGAAAAAAGCAAAAGAAAUUUAAUCAGUUAAAGACUAGAGCUUUGAUUAAUAAAAUCACUCCUUUAAUAGUAUGUGAGUUAGGAAAUAACUGUGUCAGUUCUAUUGCAUUGAUUGAUUCUGGUUCUGAUUAUAGUAUCAUUUCAAGGAAAGUUUUUACUGAAAUAUUACGGGAUAAUGGUAAUCUGCUUAUUCAAGAGGAUAUUCAGCAUUGUGUUACUGCGAAUAAAAGUAAAUUACUGUUGAAAGAGUCAGUUCUAUUAAAAAUAAAAAUUGAAAACUUCAGUUGGAAAUUUCGUUUCUUUGUUCAUGAUGAUUUGUCAAUUCCUAUUGUUUUAGGUUGUGAUUUUAUUCAUUAUUCCAAAUUAGUUCCUGAUUUAUUCAAUAAUAGGUAUUUCUUUGGAUUUAAACCGCAAUUCAAAUUUUCUUUUGAAAAAAAUCACAGGUUGGAAUUACUAAAGAAAAUGAAUAGAAUUGGUACUGAUGUGGAAUUGGACGAUUUAAGCUCUUCGCAGAAAGUAGAAUUAAACAAAGUAUUAAAUCAAUUUGAUGAUGUUCUUACCCAUAAACUAGGUAAAUCGAACGUAAUAGAAUAUGAAAUUCGUCUGAUAGACAAUCAGCCCGUAAGGAAAGCUCCUUAUCAGUUAAAUCCGAUAAGAAUGGAAAUCUUAAAUAAAAAAAUUCAAAAAAUGUUAGAUGAUGGAAUUAUUGAGAAAUCAACUUCUAAUUAUUCCAGCCCUUGUUUCUUAGUUCCUAAGAAAGAUGGUGGCCAUCGUGUGGUAGUAGAUUAUAGAGCAUUAAAUAAAAAAAUUGCAUUAGAUGCUACACCUUUGCCAAACAUUGAGAGUACAUUCCAUUGGUUUAACGGUGCUAAGUUCUUUACUGUUCUUGAUCUUACUGAAAGCUAUUAUCAAUUGAAAUUAUCUCCAUCUUCUAAGCACUUGACUACUUUUGCAACUCCAACUCAAACUUACUGUUAUACUCGUGUACCGUUUGGUUUAUCAAUAGGUGCUCAAGCCUUAUCUACUGCUUUGAAUAUUUUAUUUGAAGGGAUAAAAUUCAAAUUUGUAAUAAAUUAUUUGGAUGAUAUUGUGAUUUAUUCUGAAGAUUUUGAGUCACAUCUUGAGCACAUUAAGAUAGUGUUGUCCAAACUUAAACAAGGUGGGUUUACUGUAAAAAAGGAGAAAGCUAAAUUUGCAAAAAAACAAAUCUCCUUUCUAGGUAAUUUAGUAAGUGAACAUGGUAUUACUAUUGAUCCAGCUCGGACAAAUUCAAUUCGUAAUUACCCUAGACCAAAAAAUGUCAAGGCUAUCUCCAGAUUCAUAGGAAUGGUAGGAUAUUUUCACAAAUUCAUUGAAAAUUACGCUGAAAUCGCCUCACCCCUCAACGAACUAAGAAAGAAGGAUAAAAAAUUAUUUGGGAAGAUGUUCACGAGAAAGCUUUUCAGAAAUUGAAAAAUGCAAUUAUGAACCCUCCUGUCUUAAUAACAGCUGAUUUUAAUAAACAGUUUGUGUUGCAAACUGAUGGGAGCUCCUUAUCAAUUUCUGCGGUCCUUUCUCAAUAUGUUGAUGGCAUCCUAAAGCCUAUUAGUUUUGCUUCCAAAAAGCUCACUCAACAAGAAUGCAAAUAUUCUACAUAUGAGAUCGAAUGCUAUGCAGCAAUUUUUGGCAUGGAAAGAUUUAAACUGUACUUACAACACACUAAAUUCUUGUUGUUAACAGAUAAUAGUGCCUUAGCAUGGAUUUUAAAACAAGACAAGCAAAUUGGUAGACUUAGUCGUUGGAUACUUAGGCUUUUAUCAUUUCAGUUCACAACACAGCAUGUAGCGGGAAAAGAUAAUUGCAUAGCUGAUGCUUUAUCCAGAAUGUACCAUGAUGACAGUGAAUUGCCUGAAAUUGAUGUCAAAGAUGAACAUAUAGAAGUAGAAAAUAGUCUAAACUUAAUAAACUCACUAAAAAUUACCGAUUUUCCACUAGUAUUCACUGACAUAAAACAACACCAAGAGAAUGAUCCUAUUUUAGCGGAUAUAAUAGAAAAGAUUAAUAAUAAUAUUGAUCAGUUUCCUUAUAGUUUGUCUAAAGGAGUAUUAGUGAUAAAACUAAGAAACCAGGAAAAACAAAAAAUAGUCAUACCCAAACUUCUUGUUCCUUUAAUCUUCAAAUAUUAUCAUGAAAGUAUGAUUGGUGCUCAUUUAGGUAUUGCUAAAACUAUUUCAAAAAUUCAAGAGAAUUUCCACUGGGUUGAUUUGAGGAAAGAUAUAAUUUAUUUAGUUAAAUCUUGUACUCUUUGUGCAAAAAGUAAACCAGCUCAGGCUACCAAUUACGGUUUUUUAUCAUCAAAAAUACAGGAAAAACCUCUUGAGAUGAUACAUAUUGACUUAGUUGGUCCAUUAGUACGCACAUCACAGAAUAACUGUUUUAUUUUUAGUGCAAUUGACGUUUUCAGUAAAUUCUGUUGGUUAAAAUGUUUGAGAAAAGCUAAUUCUGAAUCAGUAAUUAGAGCAUUGAAAGGUAUUUUUGCGAAUUUCUCUACUCCUAAACAAAUUAUUAGUGAUAAUGCAUCAAUUUUUAAAUCAAUCAAGUUUAAAAAUUUCUGUUUUCAAUUAGGAAUUCGUCAUAAUACGACUUCACCUUUCUAUCCUAAAGCAAACAUAGUUGAAAGAUUACAUCGUAAUUUGCGUAGCUCUCUCAUUGCUUUUCAUGCAAACUCACAGAAUAAAUGGGAUGAUACUGUAAAUGAUUGGUUAGCUUUAGCUUUUAAUACUGCUGAACAUGAUAGCAUUAAGUGCACCCCUUUUUCUCUGAUGUUCCGUUAUAAACCUAAAGAACCUCUUUUGAAUAUCUGGAAUAUUAAUGAAAUUUUACCUGAUACUGCCGAUGAGAACACUGUAGAAAUUUGGCAAAAGGCUAAAGAGCAAUUGAUGAAAAGUCAUAAUUAUAGAAAAACUCGCUAUGAUAGGAACCGUGUCCCUAUUCCUUUUGCUAUAGAUGACCUUGUAUGGGUCCGGACACAUAUUCUUAGUGAUAAGGCCAACCAAAUUUGUACAAAAUUAAGCUUCCGGUAUCGUGGCCCGCUAAAAAUAAAAAGAUGGUUAUCUGAUGUUACGGCUGAAUUAGUUGACCCUAUUACUAAUCGCUUUGUUCAAAAGGCUCAUGUCUCACAAUUAAAGAAAUAUAAUUCAUAAUUCCUUGUUUUGGAUAAUGUAGCCUGGUAUUCAUUCUUCCUUCUUAUCUUUGAAGUAAAGGGUAACGGUUUCGUCUCUGUUGUUUCUUACUGAGAGAUCGGCUCAUUGAUACUUUCUUCCUUUGGUUAUUUGUAGGAAACUCACUAUUAUUCUGGAACGUUUCUCUUCUGGUUAAAUUGUGUUGCCUUUGGUUUAGGUGUUUCUGAAGAGUAAAUAGUUGUUUUCUUUGGUGAAGCGCGCCACCUAUUGAAAUUUUAACUUUACUCACUUAUUUAAUUUCUUUAUGGAAUUGUGUAAAAUAUUGUACAAAAGAAUCUAUCUUAGCCUAUAAAUAGAUAGAAAUUUUAUUGAGAUCAUAUUAUUAGAUAGAUUAUUGAAAUAGUUUAUAGUUAUAAUUUUGCUUUAGUGUUAAUGAAUUUUGAUGAAUAGUGGUGAAUAGCAGUGUUUCUAUUUCAUCAGAUUGUUGUAAAUAAAGUAAGGGAAUAAAGUGAAUCAAAAGAAGAGUUUUGAUAAAUGAUAAAAUACUUGAAAAUGUAUAUUAUUAUCACUUAAUUGGGUAAUAGAGUAGAAAAAUAUUGGUUUCUGUAUGUAAAUAAUGUCAAGUGAUUUAUCUUUCAAAUUUUAUCAAGAGUGUAUGAAUUUUGUUAGAAUAAAAAAAAGGAUCAAAGAUAUAUAUAUAUAUAAAAAAAAGGGGUAGGCAAAUGAUCAUUAGAGAUGGAAUAUAUUCUUUGGGACUGAGAACUGAUUAAUUUUCUUUUGAAAUCUGAGUGUGGACGCAUGUUCAGAUAUUUCUUUGUUUGAAAGACUUCAAGUUUUUGUUGGGAGUGGCCAAUCCCUGCAUUAAUUUGUGGUCUAGUUUCUUCUGUUGUUAGAUUCUAAAUUUUUUUUUAUUAUUUCAAUGGUUACUCAGCUAUUGAGUAGGUUCCACCUCUGAUCUUCAUUGAAUUUGUAAUCAAGAGUUUUUAUUUGAUUUUUAUUUGAUGUUGAGUUUUGAAUUAAUAAUUUUACAAAUAGAUGAUUUAUUUCUUGGAAUAAUUCAACUCUAAGAGUGAAUAUUUCUCAACUCAAAUUCUUAUGAAGCAUUCUUCUCUGAUAAAUUCUAUAUAUAUGUUAAUUCAACUUAAAAAUUAUCUUAGCUAGCUCAAAUUUUUUUUUUAGAAUGUAGCUUUCACACACUUGAGUGGAGGGAGUAUGUAACAAUUUUGGACAUGAUUAUUUUUAUCUUGUUUUUCUGUUAUUUCGGUUCUAAAUUCGAUUGUAUUAUCAGCUUGUUUUUCUCAGUGAGACAAAGAUGCACUUAUGGGAUCGAGCUGUACCCUUCGAAUAAUCUACUUUCUUGUUCUCUCCAGUUCUUUUUUGCUAUUUUCUUUCUCCCUUUUUCUGUCCUUGUUGGUAGCUUUGAGUUUGCAUUGCUCUUUCUCUCUAGUUUCUUUGUCUAAUUUUGAUAAUUCCGUUUUGCUUACGUCACUGUCUUGUUUGCUACCCCGUCUUCAACGCUCGAUGAUCCAUUCUGUCUCUGAAUUUCGUGAGUGGAGGUUGUAAAUUUAACUUUUUCCUUUGAUUCCAUUUUUAUUUAGCUUAUGCUAAAUUUUUCUAUUUAUUACAAUAUGUAGUUGAUCAGAGACAGAUUUCAUACAUCACAAGUUGUGAUAUUAUUAUUUUCUUUAUUUUUUUUAUUUCCUUUUUAAAUAUGUAAAUUUUCUUGUUUGUUAUAAAAAAAAAAAAAAAAAAAGAAAAGUAAUCAUGUCCGAAAAUUUAAUUGAGUAUUCAUUCUAGCUGGCCUAAGUUAUGGCAAUUUAUUUAUAUUUGUUGAAAACCUCAUUCAUCACAUAUGUAUCCAUAGUAAUUUCUACAAUUUCCGCUGUACAGCGGUCGUUGACUCGUAGACUCGUAGACUCGUAGACUCGUAGACUCGUAGUAUCACAGGAUGUCUUAGUUAUGGCCAUGGAAGCUGAAUCCUUGCUGACCAACUCAUCACAAGGAAACCAAUAUUUCCAGAAAAGAUCUAAAUUCGCCGUAAAAAGGAUACUUCAAGAACUUCUUGUGCAGUGAAAAAUUAAUAAGUGAAAAAUUUGAAUAAAGUGUACGGAGGCCUCCUCACUUCAAUACACCAGGUAUUUACGAAACAACCAAUAUUAAUUUAUGGAAAAUUCACAGGCAACUACUUCGCAAAAAUAAAUGGGACAGGAUAAUAAAUAAAUUUGUAAUUACUUGAUUUAAAUUUUGUUUAUUUUUUGGAAAUUCUAUUUAUUUGAUCUAUUAUGUAUAUUAAAUUGCAAACAUGAUUACAA
rnacentral:misc_RNA from 1 species